CACGUAGGGCGCAAGCGUUGUCCGGAAUCACUGGGCGUAAAGGGCGCGUAGGUGGCCCGACAAGUCAAUGGUGAAAGUUCGACGCUUAACGUCGAAUCGGCCACUGAUACUGUUGGGCUGGAGCACUGUAGAGGCUCAUGGAAUUCCGGGUGUAGCGGUGGAAUGCGUAGAGAUCCGGAAGAACACCGGUGGCGAAGGCGGUGAGCUGGGCAGUUGCUGACACUGAGGCGCGACAGCGUGGGGAGCAAACAGG
rnacentral:rRNA from 1 species